AUUGAACGCUGGCGGCAGGCCUAACACAUGCAAGUCGAACGCGUGGCGGACGGGUGAGUAAUGUCUGGGUAACUGCCCGAUGGAGGGGGAUAACUACUGGAAACGGUAGCUAAUACCGCAUACUCUCGGAUGUGCCCAGAUGGGUUUAGCUAGUGGGUGGGGUAACGGCUCACCUAGGCGACGAUCUCUAGCUGGUCUGAGAGGAGGACCAGCAACACUGGAACUGGGACACGGUCCAGACUCCUACGGGAGGCAGCAGUGGGGAAUAUUGCACAAUGGGCGCAAGCCGGAUGCAGCCAUGCCGCGUGUAUGAAGAAGGCCUUCGGGUUGUAAAGUACUUUCAGCGGGGAGGCGUUACCCGCAGAAGAAGCACCGGCUAACUCCGUGCCAGCAGCCGCGGUAAUAC
rnacentral:rRNA from 1 species